rnacentral:rRNA from 1 species
CCUACGGGCUGCAGCAGUGGGGAAUAUUGGACAAUGGGGGGAACCCUGAUCCAGCCAUGCCGCGUGUGUGAAGAAGGCCCUCGGGUUGUAAAGCACUUUCAGUGAGGAAGAACGCCUGGUGGUUAAUACCCAUCAGGAAAGACAUCACUCACAGAAGAAGCACCGGCUAACUCCGUGCCAGCAGCCGCGGUAAUACGGAGGGUGCGAGCGUUAAUCGGAAUUACUGGGCGUAAAGCGCGCGUAGGUGGCUUGAUAAGCCGGUUGUGAAAGCCCCGGGCUCAACCUGGGAACGGCAUCCGGAACUGUCAAGCUAGAGUGCAGGAGAGGAAGGUAGAAUUCCCGGUGUAGCGGUGAAAUGCGUAGAGAUCGGGAGGAAUACCAGUGGCGAAGGCGGCCUUCUGGACUGACACUGACACUGAGGUGCGAAAGCGUGGGUAGCAAACAGGAUUAGAUACCCUAGUAGUC